UUCACUAAGUAAAACAAUUUAGGAUGAUACCUAGCCAAUUCAGUCACUACCCAAUUAAAAUUAAUGCAUUCAUCUAUUAAAGUAACUAACAUACUAAUUGAGAUAAAUUAGACUAUACGCUAAACUGUUUGUGAAAGAUAGCUAUUAAUAUUAAUUCAGUGGGAGACAAAUGAGACUACUUUCAUUUUCUGAAGGAAAUUUUUUAAAAUUAUCAUCAGCUUCAUCCUUAUAACAUUAAUUUAAAAUGUAAAGAUGAACUUAUUUUCUUAAACUGUUUCUCUCUGUGUGUUUUAUUUUUAUUCUUUUGUUCAAGGUGGCUAAUAAUGUUUCUAAUUACACAUUUCUUAAAAUCAUCUGAAAUCUGUCAAUAACUCACUUAUUUUUUUAAAUGUGUGUAGCUUCUUUCUUUUUGACACAAAGGUUCAUUAUUCAAGACUGGACUCCUUAUGCAACAGAGAGUGACCUGGAACAUCUUCCUCCUUCUGCCUCUACCUCUGCAGUGCUGGAAUUAAAGAGGUGCACCACCAUAACUUGUCACACUCUUGUGGGGAUCAGACCCAGUGCUUCAAGCAUGGUACCUUGACUCUAGGCCUGUGAGCUGAAGACAGACGCCCCAACUUUGCAAAGGAACUUUGAAUAACUGUCCAGGCUUCCAGCUGUCUCUGUCUACUCUCACAAGAGUCUUCAAAGUUGAUUGCGUCCUUCUCCCAUUUCUCAGGGCAGAAAAGUUGUGUACAGUUUGUCACUGAUGUGCAGUGAAGCAGCAAACAGCAAUGGAGAUGGUGAGGUACAUGACAAUAAAGAAACAUUCUGUGGGACAGUAUCAUCAUCAUCAAAGCUGGAGGGUGAAGAAACCAUCUCAACAUGAAGAACGUACAAGAGUCCGACUUGAGACCUGUGGUCAGCCAACGGUCAGACAAAUUUUCCCGUGAAAACACCUUCCCUUGAGGCAUGGACAUACCUCUGCUCAGCAUGAGGACUCUAAACAUAAAAGCAUUUAUAGAAAUACGUUUCUCUAGCUUAGAUUAUUAUACUAUAUUUUAUUUAUGAUGUGCCAUACACCAACUAUAGGACUAACUCCUGUAUCGACAUUGUUAGUUUAGUCUUCACAUUGAUAAACAAAAGUAUUUGUAGUCAUUUACAAGUGAUAAACUUUCACUAGGAAGAUCAUACAAAUGAGAUGCUCUGAAGUACACAGAUAAACUCAAAAUUCAUUGACAAGGCUGAGGUUUAGGAUCCCAGUGUCACUCCACCUACUUAUACUCCACCAUAUUCCAAGGGUGGCCCCAGUGACACUUCAUUGAGAUUUAAUUUAUGAAUAAACAUUCCUAAGCAGUUGUGUUAUCUGUCUCUUGGCAUUAUUUAUCUCUCUAUAAAUUAAAUACAUAAUGUUUUUUAU